UUUGUGUGGACGUCCAUCUUUGAUGUGUCUUCAUGAGGACACUCAGGUCCACGGAAGACAGAUGUCAGGAUGAAUGUUUGUGUGGACGUCCAUCUCUGACGUGUCUUCAUGAGGACACUCAGGUCCACGGAAGACAGAUGUCAGGAUGAAUGUUUGUGUGGACGUCCAUCUCUGACGUGUCUUCAUGAGGACACUCAGGUCCACGGAAGACAGAUGUCAGGAUGAAUGUUUGUGUGGACGUCCAUCUUUGAUGUGUCUUCAUGAGGACACUCAGGUCCACGGAAGACAGAUGUCAGGAUGAAUGUUUGUGUGGACGUCCAUCUUUGACGUGUCUUCAUGAGGACACUCAGGUCCACGGAAGACAGAUGUCAGGAUGAAUGUUUGUGUGGACGUCCAUCUCUGACGUGUCUUCAUGAGGACACUCAGGUCCACGGAAGACAGAUGUCAGGAUGAAUGUUUGUGUGGACGUCCAUCUUUGAUGUGUCUUCAUGAGGACACUCAGGUCCACGGAAGACAGAUGUCAGGAUGAAUGUUUGUGUGGACGUCCAUCUCUGACGUGUCUUCAUGAGGACACUCAGGUCCACAGAAGACAGAUGUCAGGAUGAAUAUUUGUGUGGACGUCCAUCUUUGAUGUGUCUUCAUGAGGACACUCAGGUCCACAGAAGACAGAUGUCAGGAUGAAUAUUUGUGUGGACGUCCAUCUUUGAUGUGUCUUCAUGAGGACACUCAGGUCCACGGAAGACAGAUGUCAGGGUGAAUGUUUGUGUGGACGUCCAUCUCUGACGUGUCUUAAUGAGGACACUCAGGUCCACGGAAGACAGAUGUCAGGGUGAAUGUUUGUGUGGACGUCCAUCUCUGACGUGUCUUAAUGAGGACACUCAGGUCCACGGAAGACAGAUGUCAGGAUGAAUGUUUGUGUGGACGUCCAUCUCUGACGUGUCUUCAUGAGGACACUCAGGUCCACGGAAGACAGAUGUCAGGGUGAAUGUUUGUGUGGACGUCCAUCUCUGACGUGUCUUAAUGAGGACACUCAGGUCCACGGAAGACAGAUGUCAGGAUGAAUAUUUGUGUGGACGUCCAUCUCUGACGUGUCUUCAUGAGGACACUCAGGUCCACAGAAGACAGAUGUCAGGAUGAAUGUUUGUGUGGACGUCCAUCUCUGACGUGUCUUCAUGAGGACACUCAGGUCCACGGAAGACAGAUGUCAGGAUGAAUGUUUGUGUGGACGUCCAUCUCUGACGUGUCUUCAUGAGGACACUCAGGUCCACAGAAGACAGAUGUCAGGACGAAUAUUUGUGUGGACGUCCAUCUCUGACGUGUCUUCAUGAGGACACUCAGGUCCACAGAAGACAGAUGUCAGGGUGAAUGUUUGUGUGGACGUCCAUCUCUGACGUGUCUUCAUGAGGACACUCAGGUCCACGGAAGACAGAUGUCAGGGUGAAUGUUUGUGUGGACGUCCAUCUUUGACGUGUCUUCAUGAGGACACUCAGGUCCACGGAAGACAGAUGUCAGGGUGAAUGUUUGUGUGGACGUCCAUCUCUGACGUGUCUUCAUGAGGACACUCAGGUCCACGGAAGACAGAUGUCAGGGUGAAUGUUUGUGUGGACGUCCAUCUUUGACGUGUCUUCAUGAGGACACUCAGGUCCACGGAAGACAGAUGUCAGGAUGAAUGUUUGUGUGGACGUCCAUCUUUGACGUGUCUUCAUGAGGACACUCAGGUCCACGGAAGACAGAUGUCAGGAUGAAUGUUUGUGUGGACGUCCAUCUCUGACGUGUCUUCAUGAGGACACUCAGGUCCACGGAAGACAGAUGUCAGGAUGAAUGUUUGUGUGGACGUCCAUCUUUGAUGUGUCUUCAUGAGGACACUCAGGUCCACGGAAGACAGAUGUCAGGGUGAAUGUUUGUGUGGACGUCCAUCUCUGACGUGUCUUCAUGAGGACACUCAGGUCCACGGAAGACAGAUGUCAGGGUGAAUGUUUGUGUGGACGUCCAUCUCUGACGUGUCUUCAUGAGGACACUCAGGUCCACAGAAGACAGAUGUCAGGGUGAAUGUUUGUGUGGACGUCCAUCUCUGACGUGUCUUCAUGAGGACACUCAGGUCCACGGAAGACAGAUGUCAGGGUGAAUGUUUGUGUGGACGUCCAUCUCUGACGUGUCUUCAUGAGGACACUCAGGUCCACAGAUGUGAGGAUGAAGGUUUGUGUGGACGUCCAUCUUUGACGUGUCUUCAUGAGGACACUCAGGUCCACAGAUGUGAGGAUGAAUGUUUGUGUGGACGUCCAUCUUUGACGUGUCUUCAUGAGGACACUCAGGUCCACGGAAGACAGAUGUCAGGGUGAAUGUUUGUGUGGACGUCCAUCUCUGACGUGUCUUCAUGAGGACACUCAGGUCCACAGAUGUGAGGAUGAAGGUUUGUGUGGACGUCCAUCUUUGACGUGUCUUCAUGAGGACACUCAGGUCCACAGAUGUGAGGAUGAAUGUUUGUGUGGACGUCCAUCUUUGACGUGUCUUCAUGAGGACACUCAGGUCCACGGAAGACAGAUGUCAGGGUGAAUGUUUGUGUGGACGUCCAUCUUUGAUGUGUCUUCAUGAGGACACUCAGGUCCACGGAAGACAGAUGUCAGGAUGAAUAUUUGUGUGGACGUCCAUCUCUGACGUGUCUUCAUGAGGACACUCAGGUCCACGGAAGACAGAUGUCAGGAUGAAUAUUUGUGUGGACGUCCAUCUUUGACGUGUCUUCAUGAGGACACUCAGGUCCACGGAAGACAGAUGUCAGGAUGAAUGUUUGUGUGGACGUCCAUCUCUGACGUGUCUUCAUGAGGACACUCAGGUCCACGGAAGACAGGAUGAAUGUUUGUGUGGACGUCCAUCUCUGACGUGUCUUCAUGAGGACACUCAGGUCCAGGGAAGACAGAUGUCAGGAUGAAUGUUUGUGUGGACGUCCAUCUCUGACGUGUCUUCAUGAGGACACUCAGGUCCACAGAAGACAGAUGUCAGGGUGAAUGUUUGUGUGGACGUCCAUCUUUGAUGUGUCUUCAUGAGGACACUCAGGUCCACGGAAGACAGAUGUCAGGAUGAAUGUUUGUGUGGACGUCCAUCUCUGACGUGUCUUCAUGAGGACACUCAGGUCCACGGGAGACAGAUGUCAGGAUGAAUGUUUGUGUGGACGUCCAUCUCUGACGUGUCUUCAUGAGGACACUCAGGUCCACGGAAGACAGAUGUCAGGGUGAAUGUUUGUGUGGACGUCCAUCUUUGAUGUGUCUUCAUGAGGACACUCAGGUCCACGGAAGACAGAUGUCAGGAUGAAUGUUUGUGUGGACGUCCAUCUCUGACGUGUCUUCAUGAGGACACUCAGGUCCACAGAAGACAGAUGUCAGGAUGAAUAUUUGUGUGGACGUCCAUCUUUGACGUGUCUUCAUGAGGACACUCAGGUCCACGGAAGACAGAUGUCAGGAUGAAUGUUUGUGUGGACGUCCAUCUUUGAUGUGUCUUCAUGAGGACACUCAGGUCCACGGAAGACAGAUUUUAGGAUGAAUGUUUGUGUGGACGUCCAUCUUUGAUGUGUCUUCAUGAGGACACUCAGGUCCACGGAAGACAGAUGUCAGGAUGAAUGUUUGUGUGGACGUCCAUCUCUGACGUGUCUUCAUGAGGACACUCAGGUCCACGGAAGACAGGAUGAAUGUUUGUGUGGACGUCCAUCUCUGACGUGUCUUCAUGAGGACACUCAGGUCCAGGGAAGACAGAUGUCAGGAUGAAUGUUUGUGUGGACGUCCAUCUCUGACGUGUCUUCAUGAGGACACUCAGGUCCACAGAAGACAGAUGUCAGGGUGAAUGUUUGUGUGGACGUCCAUCUUUGAUGUGUCUUCAUGAGGACACUCAGGUCCACGGAAGACAGAUGUCAGGAUGAAUGUUUGUGUGGACGUCCAUCUCUGACGUGUCUUCAUGAGGACACUCAGGUCCACGGGAGACAGAUGUCAGGAUGAAUGUUUGUGUGGACGUCCAUCUCUGACGUGUCUUCAUGAGGACACUCAGGUCCACGGAAGACAGAUGUCAGGGUGAAUGUUUGUGUGGACGUCCAUCUUUGAUGUGUCUUCAUGAGGACACUCAGGUCCACGGAAGACAGAUGUCAGGAUGAAUGUUUGUGUGGACGUCCAUCUCUGACGUGUCUUCAUGAGGACACUCAGGUCCACAGAAGACAGAUGUCAGGAUGAAUAUUUGUGUGGACGUCCAUCUUUGACGUGUCUUCAUGAGGACACUCAGGUCCACGGAAGACAGAUGUCAGGAUGAAUGUUUGUGUGGACGUCCAUCUUUGAUGUGUCUUCAUGAGGACACUCAGGUCCACGGAAGACAGAUUUUAGGAUGAAUGUUUGUGUGGACGUCCAUCUUUGAUGUGUCUUCAUGAGGACACUCAGGUCCACGGAAGACAGAUGUCAGGGUGAAUGUUGGAGAUGAGACACAGGUGGAAGACCUUCCACUGUUAUCUUCUGCUGUGCAGGAACUUCUACUAUAAUUUUUUGGCUUUUUUUUUUUAUGGUUGUGACAUAUUUUUUUAGACAUUUUCGGCCAUUGUCUUUUCUUUUUUUCCCCCAUAAGAAGAGAGAAAAAGACAUCUUGUAUUUGCACUUUCUCACCAGGUGAAAUGUAAAUGUGAUGAAUGAAGACUUCUAUUUGUGUGUUUGCUGCAUUCACUCAUUCAAGGUAUGCUCUUUGUGUGUGUUUGUAUGCUGUUGCCAUGGAUACCGCACAGCAUGAAUCCUUGUCAUUCUUCCUGCUGGACUCAAAUUAUUACAAUAAUAAUAAAGACUAUUUCUCUUUGUGGAUGAA